rnacentral:ncRNA from 1 species
CCUGUUGAGGGGCGCUGCAACGGAGUUUUCUCCGCUACGCUCAACAAGAUGCCAACUUCAUUUGCAAGGGCGCCCAUUCUUC